rnacentral:rRNA from 1 species
AUUGAACGCUGGCGGCAGGCCUAACACAUGCAAGUCGAACGAGUGGCGGACGGGUGAGUAAUGUCUGGGAAACUGCCUGAUGGAGGGGGAUAACUACUGGAAACGGUAGCUAAUACCGCAUACCAUCAGAUGUGCCCAGAUGGGCUUAGCAAGUGGGUGGGGUAACGGCUCACCAAGGCGACGACCCCUAGCUGGACUGCGGGGAUGACCAGCCACAAUGGAAUGGAGAAACGGUCCAUAUGCCUACGGAGGGCGGCAUAGGGGAACAUUGCACAAUGGGGGCAAUCGUUAUGCAGCCAUGCCGCUUGGAUGAAAAAGGCCUUCGGGUGGUAAAGUAUGUUCAGGGGGGAGGCGUUACCCGCAGAAGAAGCACCGGCUAACUCCGUGCCAGCAGCCGCGGUAAUUC